rnacentral:rRNA from 1 species
UACGGGGGGGGCAAGCGUUGUUCGGAAUUACUGGGCGUAAAGCGCGCGUAGGCGGCUCUUCAAGUCGAGUGUGAAAGCUCCAGGCUUAACCUGGGAAUUGCGCUCGAUACUGUUGAGCUAGAGUGUGGAAGGGGCUACUGGAAUUCCGCGUGUAGCAGUGAAAUGCGUAGAGAUGUGGAGGAACACCGAUGGCGAAGGCAGCCCCCUGGGUCAAGAUUGACGCUCUUGCACGAAAGCGUGGGGAGCAAACAGG